rnacentral:rRNA from 1 species
GAUUGAACGCUGGUGGCAGGCCUAACACAUGCAAGUCGAGCGGCAUCGAGUGAGCGCAGUUUACUGAGUUCACGUCGGCGAGCGGCGGACGGGUGAGUAAAGUCUGGGAAUCUGGCCGAAGGAGGGGGAUAACUGCUGGAAACGGCAGCUAAUACCGCAUGAAGUCGCGAGACCAAAGUGGGGGACCUUCGGGCCUCACGCCGUCGGAUGAGCCCAGAUGAGAUUAGCUGGUAGGUAAGGUAAAGGCUUACCUAGGCGACGAUCUCUAGCGGGUCUGAGAGGAUAGCCCGCCACACUGGAACUGAGACACGGUCCAGACUCCUACGGGAGGCAGCAGUGGGGAAUAUUGCACAAUGGGCGAAAGCCUGAUGCAGCCAUGCCACGUGUGUGAAGAAGGCCUUCGG